rnacentral:lncRNA from 11 species
AGGACACCAUGCCACAUGCACACAUACAGAUUUUCACUUUUAUUAUGUGUAUAGAUUGUCCGUGUUUGCCAUUUUUUUGUUAAUAACCAUGCUUUUAACUGCUUUUUAAUUAUAUUGAUAAUUUAAUCAAAUACUUAACUUUUGUUGUGCACCGUAUCUGAUUUUUUAAUGAGCAACCUUGAAUCCCAGAUGAGAGAAAAUGCAAGAUAUGCUUGAGUGGGGAUUUGAAUCCUUUCCUUUAGAACCAAAGCACCAUCCAGGGUUCUUAUCUGUGAUACUUAACUGGAGCCUCCAUGCAGUGAAUUUGUGAACAUCCGCUACUAAAAAACAAACAACUGAGAAAGAGUUUUGCAUUCACACAUUGCCUCUCCUUUGCUAACAAACUUCGUUAUUCUUGGGCUGCAGGCAAACAAACCCCUUGAGAACGUGGGGUUGUCCUAACUUAUUUAUUUUUUACGGAGUCAGGACGUGUCUGCCUUCUCAGUACAUUCCAUCACAGAUGUGAAGGAAACCACCUCAAUGAGAUUAAGGCUCCAUUUCCUCCCUGCCAGCGGGCAGAUCACAGCCAGACCGACUGUGAAUACUGUGGGUAUCCGUGCCUGAAAGGAAAGCCUUGAUGAAUAAGAAAUGCAACUAGAAGAGGAGGAGGUGAGAGAACCCCCUUUUAAAAAACACACAUACACAACUUUUUCUUCACUGGCAGGUGCCUCUGAUAAUAAAGAAGGUGGAAUUCCGCUCGCUGGCUCUUUUCUCCUGCCCAGUUUGUUCCUUACUGACUGAUGGAGUCCUUGGUGAUCUAUCUCGGCAAGGUCAAGAGAGUAUAAUUAGCAGAGGGAUUAAAAAGAUGCUCUGCUUCAUGCGCCCACUCUUCCUUGCGCGGUCUUCUUCCGAAUGCAUCUCACAUCUCCUGGCUCCCGGCUGGCUGAUGGGCGUGCGCUGCUCCUGCCGACACACACAUGCUUCUGCGCUUUCCCUGAGAGUGGAGCAUUAGCAACUGCAGCUUUAAAAAAGACAGAAAAAGCAUGCCCGUUUCCCCAGCUGGUGAACCUUCAGCAGCCACUGCCUGACGUUGUGGCGAGGAAGACAGCUCCAGAGGCAAGUUCCAGAAGAACUUGGUUGCACUUUGGGGUGGCCACUGUGACUCCUCUAGCGCUGGGCACCUUUCCAAAAGUCCUGGCAUUCAAGGCUCAUCGAGCUGUGUGUCGGGGUAGAAUGCUGGCUGUCUCUGAAAGUGGAAGAGUUCACAACUCAAGGUUAUGAGCGACUCUGAGUCUUAAUUAAGAGCCAAAAGCCGAAUGAUGAUGAUGCUAAUAAUAAUAACCCAAAAUGCAGACUGUGCAAGGAAACCGAUGAAACCAUUGAUCAUAUCCUCAGCUGCUGUAAGAAAAUUGCACAGA